rnacentral:tRNA from 1 species
GGGAAUGAUUGCGAGGCUGGUGCCCGCCGCGGUCUUCAAAACCGUUGAGACCAGUGAUCCUGGUCUGCUGGGUUCGAUUCCCAGGCGUUCCCG